UACGUAGGGGGCAAGCGUUGUCCGGAAUCAUUGGGCGUAAAGAGCGUGUAGGCGGCUCGAUAAGUCUGCUGUGAAAGUCCAGGGCUCAACCCUGGAAGGCCGGUGGAAACUGUCGGGCUAGAGUCCGGAAGAGGCGAGUGGAAUUCCCGGUGUAGCGGUGAAAUGCGCAGAUAUCGGGAGGAACACCAAUGGCGAAGGCAGCUCGCUGGGAAGGUACUGACGCUGAGACGCGAAAGCGUGGGGAGCAAACAGG
rnacentral:rRNA from 1 species